rnacentral:rRNA from 1 species
CUGGGCGUAAGGAUGCGUAGGCGGUGAUUUAAGUGGGAUGUGAAAUACCCGGGCUCAACUCGGGAAUGGCAUUCCAAACUGGAUCGCUAGAGUGCAGGAGAGGAAAGUGGAAUUCCCAGUGUAGCGGUGAAAUGCGUAGAGAUUGGGAGGAACACCAGUGGCGAAGGCGACUUUCUGGACUGUAACUGACGCUGAUGCAUGAAAGUGUGGGGAGCAAACAGGAUUAGAUACCCUGGUAGUCCACACCGUAAACUAUGAGUACUAGGUGUAGGGGGCGAAGCCCUCUGUGCCGCAGUUAACACAUUAAGUACUCCGCCUGGGAAGUACGAUCGCAAGAUUAAAACUCAAAGGAAUUGACGGGGGCUCGCACAAGCAGCGGAGCAUGUGGUUUAAUUCGAAGCAACGCGAAGAACCUUACCAAGGCUUGACAUCCUACUAAUCCGGAAGAAGUUCUGGAGUGCCCUUCGGGGAAAGUAGAGACAGGUGGUGCAUGGUUGUCGUCAGCUCGUGUCGUGAGAUGUUGGGUUAAGUCCCGCAACGAGCGCAACCCCUAUUGUUAGUUGCCAGCAUUAAGUUGGGCACUCUAGCGAGACUGCCGAGGUUAACUCGGAGGAAGGUGGGGAUGACGUCA